UGCCCCUUCUCCUGGAGCACAAUUGUUUCUUCAUUCAUCAAAAUUUUAGAAUAACUAUUACUCGCACUGUCAUCAAAUCCCCCCAAAUGUGUUUUGACAUUCGACGGGGCAUUUAUUUGAGUUCUUGUGAGAAUUUCACCGAACUGCUCCGCGGUGCCCACAAGCCGCGCUCCUUCCUCCUCCUCCGCCUAUAGUGCUCGUGCAGUACUGACACACAGGUGAUGACGGUGUUUGUGAAAUCCCCCGACGUCGUUUAGUGGUAAAUUACUACCAGUACAGAUAGUUUUAGGAUGAAAAUAAAAGAAAUAAGCCUCGCCACAGCUCCGUCACUUUCUACCCUGUCUCCUCCACCUGUCACUCACCUAAUCAGUUCAUUCAGUGCACCUGCUAGUCACAAACACUACUGAGACAUCACAUAUAGGCAGUGCUGUAGUGGUAAAAUUAGAGGUGGGUAAACUCUGAAUUUUGUGAUCAUACAGACCUCGACGCAAUGUGAAGCAACGCAACACAAAGCGUCGCGACUCUGUAAGGCUGUCCUGGCUAUAUUGCAUUAUGUUAUCAGUAAAAGUCAUAUACAAUCAAUGACAAUGAAUACAUGUGUUAGUAGUUUGUAGUUCAUUAAAUCUAAGAAAACAGUGAAGAAAAGUAUGUCAACACAACACAACAACACAAUUGCAGAUUAAGAACUAUCUACAUACGGAGUCUCCUUUUUACAGUAGUGCCCAGAGGGCCUCCUUGUCCUCCACGUCAGGUCCUGCCUUGCACAGAGGAGCCAUGAACCCCCAGAACACGCGUUACACACCCCCCCCCGUCGGACCUUCUCGACCGGUCCGCGAAAUAUUGUCUGACAUGAAACCGGUCCGUGAGGUAAAAAGGUUGGGGACCACUGGGCUGAUCCACAACGUGUGUUUACACACCUCCUGGAUCCUGUUUGAUGUCGCUGCUGCAGCCGCAAGGCACUGAUUGGAUGCUCACAGACCGUAAUACAGCGCAGAUGAACAUGAUUCAGACUACGGCGUUUAUAUGUUCAACAAUAGGAAACGUAGUCUUAGCUGUUUUAAAAUUACACCAAGUUUAUUUCGGAUUAUUCCAACGGAAGAAUACAAGGCGCAGGUAACUUUGAGGUGCGUAAACGCUAUUUCCAAAAUUCCAGAGGUGCGUAAACAGGGUUUACGUGCGUUUACCCUCCACUACAGCCCUGGGUGGGACGUCAUGUGUACAUACACUUGUGGAUGUGUGGCCGAGGAACAGUUGUCUCUCAGAGACGACCGUUGGACCACAGCUGGUACUCAGCAAUAAAACGGUCACGAGCAGCUGUCGUUUGGACCGAACUGAUCUGUGGGAGAGAAACCGAUGACCAGCCGCAUACAGUGUGUUUGGGCCAGAUAUUCCCUGUAUUAACCGGGCUUCAUCUAUUUUAAAAUAGGUUUGAGUUUCAGCGUGAAAAUAAUUUACACUUUUACAACUCAAGUUGAAUUCAAGCAGAAACGAGCCCUGAUUCCCUGCUGGGAGAGCAAAGUGACGGAUGAGCUCCCAGAUAAAAAAUGCUUACAAAUUAAUCGGAAAUAUGAUGACUCGAGUUCAAAUCACGCUUCCAUGUUAAGACAGCCUGGGGCGACGAUGGACAGCCAACCGCGUAAAUUGAUACGCACAUAGAGCAGAAACCCACUCAUGUUGCUCAGACAAUACAAAUAACACACACAACAGCAACAAUGCCUUGUAUCCGCUUCUCUCAUUCUGCUUUCAUCCUCCCCUGUCUCUUCCUCUCCUCUCCGCCGGGGCCGAGGAGCUUCUCAUGGAGUAAAAACACAGCUCUAAUUACGCAUGCAAUGAAACCCACUUCUGGCUCCAGAUGAUGUUUGUGAAGCUUCCCUCACGCGGUUACGUGACAUGGUGAAUGCACCCAUCACCUUAUGUAACCCUUAUAUGCCUUACUGCAGAAAAUGACACACUUCUCUCAUGCUAAGAAAAGCACUGAUGACAGCAGAGCGGUGGAUGCAGUAACAGUGAUGAAAGCUGAGCUGCAGCAUCCUAUCACACGCACACUGUGUAAGUGUUGUGCCACAUUGAAUCCGUCUCUGACGGGAAUACGGGCCGCUUAGUCUCCGGGUCUCUUCAGGAAUCUGCUUUGUCAAACGCCUAUUUUUUUGUUUUCAGGAUCCUAAACUGAUGUGAAGGACUGUCGUGGCAGUUUGUCACGCUAAUCCUGUUCUAUUUUAAACUCGCAGUCUUUCAAGUCCCAUGCCGGGCGGUGCAGCACAACACAGCCGGAAGACUGUCACCAGAUCAUAACAAGCGCGAUGAAAGUUAUAUAAAUAGUGGAGCGAUGAAACAUGAAACAAUCCUGGUGAUCCAGCUGGAAACCUCACGAUAUGUAGGUUACCGCCACGCGUUGUUUCUCGUCCCGUCAGCCCACCUCACCCCUCAUCCUAUGGAGGGACAGUCCGCCCGUGAGCCUGGAUUAAGAGACCACUUUUGUUGUAGAAGGGAUUAGUGUGUGUGUUUUUGUGAGAGCGUUUCUGUCCAUCGCAAUUGUGUUUGCAUGCAUGCAUUUAGAUAUUCAAUGCGUCAUCAGUGCAGCAUGGUUGCCUCUACUGUACGUCUGUCCGAUUGCAGCUGUGGAUGCCUCGGUGCACUUGUGUGGGUGUUUGCAUGUAUGCGCAUAUUAUUUUACUCGACCGUCAUCGCUUUAUGAGCGCACAAAACCCCGCUGUGUUCUUGAUUGUGAAUAGUGAGCCCUGCUUGUACAAGAACACACACCCCAACCUGCUGACCGUUAUCUAGAAAUAUUGUACUAAAAAGGGGCUACCCAAAGAAUGCAGAUCGCCCUCUGGUUGUUGCACACUCCACGUUGUAAUAUAUUUUAUUUAAUGCAACUAGGAUGUGGCAGAAACAAUUAUAAAAAUAAUUAUGUGGGGAUUUCCAGAUGUGUGUUUGAAGGAAUGAGAAUAGAUAGAAUAGACUCCAGCAACGUUUGUGGUAUGCUGACCAAUGUGUUUAAGCAUGUGUCAUCUAGGACAAAUUCUAAACACCUUACAGUUUUCCAAUUACAGCUUUUUUUGCAUUUGAUGUCUAUGACUAAAGGAUCAGUGCACAUGAACUUUGAAAACUGGCCUAGUUUCCAUUUGAGGCUCAGUCACACCAGAAUUGAGCGAAGAGGCAACUAUUCAUUGGUAAAAUCUAGAAGUGUCCAAUAGUAUAAUAAUAAUAACUGCAGUCUGGCCUUUUAACGUUCUAAUAACCACAUAGACUGGUUAAUCAGGCUCUACCCGCAGACGGCGACCGUAAAUGCAAAAUCAGUUGGCUUCAUUCAUCCGGGUGGAUGUUUAAGUUCCUCCGCUUGCCGACGUGCAGAAAGCACAGCGGACGCUCGCUGACCAGAUACUGUGUGUGGAACCCGGCGUCCUUAGUCAUUGUUCUUGGGGACUUUAACAAAGGAAACCUCAGCCAUGAGGUCCCCGAAUAUAAACAACUAGUUAAAUGCACCACCAGGGUGAGUUACAACAAUGCCUACCCCUGGUUCACAACUGAACUCGGACGGCUUCGGUUACAAGAGGAUCAGGCGUUUAAAAGUGGGGACGUCAAAAUACAUGUUUGGCAACGACUGUAUUCAGAGAGGCUCCAACAGCAGUUCUCUGCAUCAGUCUGGAAAGGCCUCAGAAUGAUGUCCAACUACAAGCGCAAAGCGCCCGCCCCCCGCCCACACACACUUCAUGAACGACCCCCGCCUGGCUGACGAGCUGAACAAUUUCUACUGCCGCUUUGACAGACAAAAGAGCAGUCCUGAACUCAACCACAGCCUUCACACCCCCCACUCCCACCGCCCCGGCACAAGAGGGGCCCAUGCCCCCCCCCACCAACAACCUGCUCAUCCUCCAUCACAUUGACGCCUCUCUCUACUCAGGAGAGGGACGUCAAUAGGAUAUUUAAAUCAAAGCAGAUGCUGAUCAGUUGUCUCCGGUGUUUACCAACAUCUUCAACGCCUCACUGGAAACCUGCCAUGUGCCAGCCUGCUUCAAGGCCUUCACCACGAUCCCAAAGAAACAAGGAUGACAGGAUUCAAUCAUUACAGGCCCGUCGCCUUGACCUCUGUGGUCAUGAAGUCCUUUGAACGCCUUGUCCUGUCCCACCUCAAAACCUUUACCACCCCCUACUGGACCCCCUGCAGUUCGACUCAGUCAACAUGGCCCUUCACUCCAUCCUCCAGCAUCUGGACUCCCCAGGAACCUGCGCCAGGAGGUAGCUGUACACCAACAGCUGCACCUCCAGCCACCUGUCCGUCAGGCUCCUGAAGUUUGCGGAUCAUUGGACGGAUCUCUGGUGGGAAUGAAUCUGCCUACAGCUCAAAUAUUGACCAACUGGUGACGCGGUGCAGUCAAAACAACCUAGAGCUCAAGGCUCUAAAGACAGUGGUGAUAGUGGUGAUAGUUGGGGAUUUCCGCAGGAACACAGUCCCACCAUCACCCCGUGUGACUCCCCCGCCAACGCUGUGGACUCCCUCCGUUUCCUGGGCUCCAUCACCACCCAGGACCUGAAGUGGGAGCUGAACAUCAGCUCCAUCACCAAGAAGGCUCAGCAGAGGUUGUUCUUCCUGAGGCAGCUGAAGAAAUUCAACCUCCCAAAGACGAUGAUGGUCCACUUCUACACGGCCAUCAUGGAGUCCAUCCUCUGCUCCUCCAUCACCGUCUGGUAUGCUGCAGCCACAGCCAAGGACAAGGGCAGGCUGCAGCGUGUCCUCCGCUCUGCAGAGAGGGUGAUCGGCUGCAAUCUCCCGUCCCUGCAGGACUUGUUUGCCUCCAGGACUCUGAGGCAGGCAGGACGGAUUGUAGCCGACCUUCCCGUCACAGACUCUUUGAGCCCCUUCCCUCGGGCAGGAGGCUGUGGUCCAUCAGGACAUGAAUCUAUGCCUCAAUACUAAUAAUGUCAUAAUCAUAACACUCUAAUUCUAACUUUCCAUGUGAGUCUGUAAUCAUGAGCACAGAAAGACAUGAUAACGAGUCCAAAAGUGUGACAAAAACGAACCACAGGGCUAUUAAGGUACAUACAACUAUUAUGAAACAUUACACCAUGACAAGCUCAAAAUCCUCAAAAUGACUUCUUAAAAUGAAGAACAUGCGAAACUAUUGCCUUUUAGAGUCUUUUGAGCAGAGGCGGUUAGUCUUGGGGGGAGCGGGUGGAUGCUACGCUACGAUUUCCCAGUCGGCAUUUGAGGUCUUAGCAAAGGGUCACGCUGCCUGGUGAUCGCACAAGAAGCACCCAGAAGCAGAUACUGUAGAUCUACUCGGCUUCCACUUUUGAGGAGGUCUGCCAUAUGGUCACUUAUGGUGUAAGCAAAAUAUUUCAUAGCCUGCAACAUGUAUUCUGUAUGUCAUGCAUCAAGAGAGAAUAGCGUACUGUGUCAACUGUUAUUGAGUCCUAGUGAAUAGUGCACAUUGCUUUCCCCUCAAGAGUUGCCAGUUGGUAAUUGAGUUCUUUCUCCUCCUCCGGCUCCAUAAUGGGCUUGUCAUGCUGUGCUGCUCAGUCCGUCUUCAAAAGAGAACCAACUCUCUGUGGCUCAGAGGCGGAUGUAAACUAGGUCGCCAAAACGAUACAAGGAAUUUUGCGAGACGGGAAAGAGGGUUUGUGCGUGUGUAGUAUAUGUGGUGGUGCAUUAUUAAGGUGUGAUUGCUCGGGCUUCGGUGAAUGCUUCUGUUUUUUUUUAUUUCGGUCUGGGGAAAGACUUCCAUGUGGCAUGUGUGCAUCAAAAAUGCCAUGAAGGCGUUCACUCAUUCUCAAGGCUUAUUUCUUUUGUUUGACUUGUGAGUUACGUAAAAACUGAGGCCGAGUUGAAGGUAAGACCGUGCAAGUACGAGGGGUACGGAGAGAAAAGAGGGCAGCGUGUUCCCCUGCCAGUGCGGUCGUCAACUAUAACCUCAGAUAACUGUUAUCGUGGCUGACAGGCGGAGAAAGGCGCCUUUUAACCCUCGGAGUUCUCGCGUGUUAGCAUUAAAAUGCCUCUUGUGUGCAAGAGGUGGAAGAUCAGCUCCUUCCGCUUUUGUCUUGUGGUCAUUGUCCCGUCCCUAAAAGGUGUCACACCAUUAAAAGUCCCCUUUUCCUUCCCAUUCCUGCCCUAAUGCGGCCAGGUUUUGGAAACAUUAAUAGGCCCAGAGUGUGUCUAAUGGUGGGAGACGGGGGGGCGUUCUUGCAUGUGAGGGUAACGGCCCGGCUGAGUGCCAGACCUCGGAAGCUUUUGCUUUUUACAUUGGUGAGAUCCCAUGAGGCCUUUCAACGUCUUACCGUCAAUAAGAGCUCUGUGUGUGUGUGUGUGUGUGUGUGCUGACAUUGGGUGCGUGCCUGCACGCAUGCAUACAGGAUUGAGUAUGCAUGUGUUCAUGCUUGCAAGUAGAUGAAUUAUAGAAAAGGCACUCGUUUCCUGACAUCAGACUAUCAGAGAAGCUUCUGUAGCAGCAGCGGCUGGUGGGCGUAGUUUAUAUCAACCGCUUUAAAGUCAUUUACAUGGUGAACCAGCGAUACAGUUGUUGACACGCAGGCCCUCCACCCCCCAGAAUCUGCUGACCUUUUAUAGUAAUCGUUUUUAAGUCAGCAGUCCAGAAAACAGAACGUGAAACAAGACAUCUAGUGUCAUUAAAAAUAAACGCUGCAGUUGUUCAGAUUUGACUCAUUACCCGCAUGAAUUAGUUUUUAUGUGGAAUUUACUUCCCCAGAGACAAGUAUGUUUGGUUCUUAACCCCAUGGCCAGGCCCAUGGAUGUGGAAUAUAAAGAGGAGAAAAGGGCAAAUUUCCAUCUCAGAUUCUCGUGAGAGAAGUUGCAGCGGUUGAUGAAAAGGAGGGUCGUAGACGGUCAAAGUUAAGAUUAAGAAAAAACAUGUAAUUGUGUGGUAAAAAGAUUUUAUGGGAAUUCAAAUAUCUUUGCGUUACAUGCAAUUGGGGUUCAGCUAAACACUUUUCCAUAAAGCUGCAGAAUGUGCAAACAAAAAGCUUUGUGACGAUGUGAGAGAACACGUGCAAGAAGUCUCUGCUCACGCAUCACAUAUGAGCCAAAGGGGAAGGUGUAGCGUGAAGCCUUCUUCCCAUGUGUGUCUGCAUGUGAGUGCGUAACCCAUGUGAGAAGUGAAAAGAAGAAGCCUGGUAAAGCUGAAGUCAUGAGUCCAGCUGCCAAGGAAACGUGUCCUCGGCCAUUGAUGAGCACACGCAGCUUCAGUCUGCGGUGAGGAGGUGAAGCUGUGACUGAAACACAGCAAACUGCACAGCUGCUUUGAACAUUGUGCACCGCGUGACUGCAGUGGUGUGUUUUCCUUUGGGGGCUUUGACCGACUCACAUCGUCACAGGCUUCGGCCUGAUGACCUACAAUUUUCCUCAUUAUACAUAAAAGAAGUGGGGGUCAGAGGGUGAUUAGAGCGAUGAUUAUGGUAAUGCUCUUGUUAUAAUGUCGGCCGGCCAAAGGAAGGGAGACGGGGGUUAAAACGAGGACGAGGAGAGGGGGUCCAAAGGCCGAGAAAGGCUAUGAUAAUGGGGCCAUGUGGUGAAUGACGUUAGCUGUACGGCCGACAUUACAGAGUAAAGGAACGGAAUUUACUGUGAAUUCGGGGACUCAUAGGAAUGCGCUUUUUGGUGGAAUUUGGAGAUAAAAACACAUCAGCGUAAUUUAUGGUUUGGGAGGAGAAAGAGAUGAAGACGGAUUAUGAUAAACUGUUGUUGACUCCAGGCUUACAGCUGGUUGAUUGUUCAUCUGUCUGUUUUCCCCAAAGACUAUUGGACACAACCAAUCCUCUUACAUGCACCCCGACCUGCAGCCAUUUAAUCCACCGUCUUCCCAGGAACGGAGCACUGCAGAGUCGUACCCAUGACUUUCGUUAUCGUUAUUGGUUCCUUUGGGUUCUAUUUAGCUAAAGAUCAAUAAUAAAGUAAAAGUCUUUUAAUUUUGGGCUCUCAAUCUGCUUUAACGUCUCAAAAUGAUGCCUCUCUUCUGGUUUUCACAAACGAUUUUGACUUAUUUGUUAUGAAACUUAAGAUCCUUCACUUAUCGUAAUUAUUCCAACACAAACACAAUUUUUGCUAUCAUACGAACCGUUCUAUGAGAAUGAAUGAGGAUCAGCUAGUUACGUGGUUUGCCACUGGCAUAACCGCCCCGUCUCAUGUUUUUGUUGUUG
ensembl:lncRNA